rnacentral:lncRNA from 1 species
AGUGGCCUCGCAGCUGGGGCAAGGGGGACAUCCCCGGCGCCGCGGAGCCGCGAGCGGAGCGAGCGCCCGGGGCGCACCUGAGCCUCCAGCACUCCCCGCGGCCGCGGAAACAUUUUCCUGGGCAUCUAAAAGUAUUGUGGACCUGAGACACUGUGCUUACAGGGCCUACUGGGUUGAUUCUAAAGAAGAAAGAAAAUCUAUAUGCAUGAAAAGAUGUCUUAAAAAGUUUUGAACUACUCAAAGUUAAGAUUUGGGGAAAUAGAAAUAGUAUAUAACUUAAGAAAAUUGCCACUGGCUGUGAACCCCCAUGGCAUUUUCUUUGCACUUUUUUGCUUCUCGUUAGAUUGUAUGUGUUUUUACCAUUUCACACAAACUUUUAAAGAUUAUUCCACGCCGUUAGCUCUGUGCUUCUAUUAGUGUCUCUAUCUCUCUUUCUCUCUCUCUUCCAUCUGAGUACAAUGGCUAGAAAAUAAUACACACUUGAAUGAAUAAAUGUCAUUUAAAUAUUUUAAUAAACAGAAGGAAUAGUACAAUAUAUUUCCCUUGACCAAUGUAUUGUGAUUGCUUUUUUCUUUCUUUUUUUUUAAAUCUUUUGCU